AACUCAAACUACGGGAUUUAAGUUUUCUUCUGUUUAGUUGGUUAUGUUAUGCAUGUAGUCUUAUAUAUGUAUGCUCUUGCUAGGUAGGGGCCAAGUUAAUUGUCAUUUUGUCCUGUUGCUUGUGCAUGUUUGGGAGUGGUCACUGCUUUAAAGGGUGUGCUGUGUGCGUGAGAGCAUUAUCCUGUGGAUGUGGCAGUUCACUGUCCAAUAUUACCAGUCUGUUUGAAGGUUUGUAAUGGGUAACUGAGUAUCUUGCAGCUUUCUUUGAGAUAGGAGGUAGAUCUCUGAAGUGCUGGGAGUUCUGUCUUUUUGUCUUUCACCACGUAGCUAAUGCCAAAUUUUGUUUUACAUGUCUGGUGUUUUUUUCCUGCCCAAAGCACACUGUAGACUAACAAUAGUAAUUUUAUUUCAUGUAUAUACUGCCUUAUAAGCCUUUAAAACAAAUUGAUUUACUUCAAGAUGUCUGCAUGACAGAGUUGCAUAAUGGAAAUUUGGGCUGCUGAUUAUGGAAGAAGGUGACUAAUGUAUUUAUAAAGCACUGCUGGCAUGUGCUUAAAUAUCAAGUGUUCUCUCGAUGUGCGUGGUUGUUGGUUCAGUGCUUUUGGACAUAUUCAGAUGAAAAUGGUGGGAGGGUGUAUGCGUGUUUUGUAUCUGUGUAUGCAAUGACAAGUCAAGCAAAUUGUCUCAUAUAAAAGGCUGAGCUAUACUGGAGCAAUACACUGAAAUUUUUCUGCAGUGAGUCAUAAAGUGAUAAGGAGACAAGCGUUUCUUGAGAACUUUGCUGUUAUCUUGCAACAGCAUUAGAACUUGUAGCACUAAAUUUGUAAGAUCUAAAGACAACACCUGCAGCAAUCUCCUGGCAAAAGGCUAAAAUGAACUUUUAUAACUUUUUCAGGUCACCUUGUAAUGGAAGAAAGUGGAGCUGACCAUGAUAUUGCUAUGGAAGGAUCUAAUGAUUUGCUCAUAGGCAGCUGUAAUGGUACAGGAGAGUCAGAAACAAAUGAUCAAGUUUUUCAGAAGUUGCUACUCAAAGUACGUUUUACUAUUUUUCCUCUGUGAAAGCAACUAACGUGCAUGGAUUCCAGGGAUCCAUUGUUUGGCCAGAGCGACUCUCCCCCAGCCCUGCCCGUCACAGUCCCCCUCUCGGGCAGUCCUCCGGCAUCGGCUGUGCCGGCGCGGCCGCCCCAGCCACGGUGCCGCUCUGCAGAGGAAUUGCACGGGGCAGAGCAGCCCAGGCAGCCCCUGUGCGAGCUGCAGCCCCUGGGAGGGCCCAGUGCUCCCAUGAUGAUUGUUGCCAGCCAGUCAGAAAAUGGACAGGUGCUGCAUGUCAUUCCUUCUGCCCAGCCAGGAGUGACCCAAGUGAUUAUCCCUCCAGGUCAGCUUCUGGAUGUGACCAGCACACAGGAUAUUUCAGAAGAGAAGUGUGGUGAUGGGAACCUGCAGACUGUAGUAGUGGCUUCUAUAGCAGACAAUGCAAGCAGUUACAUUCUACAUCCACAGGCAUCUCUCACCAUAUCAAAAAAAACAACCACCAGGGUAGUGGAAGAUUCUUUUCCCAUCCCUCUUCAGCCGUUGCCAUUAAAUACACCUGCAUGGGCACACCGGCUCAGGAACUGUGAGAGAAUUGGGGACUCGUACCGCGGCUAUUGUGUGAGCGAGACAGAGUUAGAGAGCGUUCUCACGCUCCACAAGCAGCAAACACAGAGCGUGUGGGGGACACGCCAGUCUCCAAGCCCAGCCAAACCCGCCACACGGUUGAUGUGGAAAUCUCAGUAUGUCCCCUAUGAUGGGAUCCCCUUUGUCAAUGCAGGAAGCAGAGCCAUUGUAAUGGAAUGCCAAUAUGGGCCAAGGAGGAAAGGAUUUCAGCCCAAAAAAGCUGGUGAGCAGGAACACACCUCUGGCCAGCUGUACAAAGCCACUUGUCCAGCAAGGAUCUAUAUUAAAAAGGUUCAAAAGUUUCCAGAAUACAGGGUUCCUACUGACCCUAAAAUUGACAAGAAGAUCAUAAGAAUGGAGCAGGAGAAAGCAUUCAACAUGCUGAAGAAGAACUUGAUAGAUGCUGGUGGUGUCCUCAGGUGGUAUGUACAGUUACCUACUCAGCAAGCCCACCAAUAUCAUGAAAUGGAAACUUCCUGCCUCCCUCAUUCACCAUCCCUUCUUUCUAUGUCUUCUCCUGAGGAGGAGGAGGAAGUCAUUAGGGAUGAGAACAGUACACUGCCUUCUCGACUUCAUCCUCAAGUGGCAGACAAGAUCCGAGAGCUGGUGUCUCAGGGAAUAGAGCAGGUCUAUGCAGUGAGGAAGCAACUGAGAAAGUAUGUGGAAAGAGAAUUGUUCACACCUGAUGAAGUGCCAGAAAGACAUAACCUAUCCUUCUUCCCCACUGUGAAUGACAUCAAGAACCACAUUCAUGAAGUACAAAAGUCCCUAAGGAAUGGAGAGCUGGUGUAUAGUUCAGAAAGUAUCCCAGCAACGCUGCAAUGGACCACAGACAGUGGGAAUGUCCUCACAGAAACAGUGACUGUUGCAUUUGCCUCACCACCUUCAGAUGGGAGCUCAGGAGUGGAGUCAGUCAUCACCAAAGCAGAAUCCAACCAGAGCGGGGAGUCCUUGGUACCAGAAACAACUCAGCUGUUGUCUUCACUCUCUUCACUUCAGCCCAAGAUAUUUGCACAACUUCAGGGAUUGCAGCUGCAGUCAACAUUUACCUCGACAAACGGAUCAUCAGCCCUGCUAGCUGUAAAUAACCAUUCCCCUCCCAGCCCUGCAAGUCUCCUGGAUUCCCUGGGGGGUGCAAUAAGCAGCCAUUCUCUAGCACUGAGUCAGGAGCAUGGUCUGCAAGCAGGUGCUGGCCUAGCACAGGACAGUGCUGCUGCGCCUGCUUUUGGGACUCUGCCUGGCUCUGAUCACAGUCUGGUUGCCAUGGGCCAGCUGGUACCGGCUGAAGGGGUGGAUGACUCCAGAAGCCUGGAAGGAGGAGCACAUCAGAUUUUCCUGGGAGAUGUACAAACUAUUCCAGUAGGGAUUGUGGACAGCCAGCCAGCACUUACUGAAGAAAAUACAGAGGGUAUUGUUAACCCUGUGAACCAAGCUAAACAAGAACCAAGAGAAAAAGCAUUGUCUAUGGAGACACGUAAAAUCAGAGACUGCCACAGUUCCUCACCAUAGUUCUUCGCCUUCACCUGUGAAGCCUGGAAGGAUUUUUCAAAUUGGAGAACUCUAAAUGUCUUGGAAGGGAAGGCAAGUGCUCUCAAAGUACUGCCAUUCUUUUUAAAUUGUAUUAUGACAUUCAGACUAAGCAUAUUUUAGAGUACUGACAGAAAGCUGUUUUGGUUUGACUGAUGUGACUCACUGCCAACUCCAGGUCAUUCAAUUGCCCUGUGGAGCACCACCUCUCUAUUCUGUUUCAAGUUUUGAGUAAUUUGGAUUCUAUCCAAAUGGCACAUUUUGUUCAUUGUUUCUGAAGGUCUUCCACAAUUUAAUUCCUUAGCUUUAGAAUGUGGAUCACAAUGCUGGGUUCACAUUUUCUCCUUGAGACCCUUGACUCUUACUGCACUAGAGAGACCAUAGAAUCUGUCAGCUCCAAGAUCACAGAAUCCAACAGCAAAAUGGAUCAGUAUGGCAAUGGUUUUGUGACAAAAGGAAGGUCCAGGAUGCUAAACUUCAAAGGGAUAAAGAACGUGGAUGCUUAAGAAAAUGCAACUUUGACCUGAUCAUAAUGUUAAUGAUGUGAAGAUCAAGGAGAGGAGAAAGGUCAGAAGCUAUCCCGCUGGUCUAUCCAAGAGCAGCAGCUAAGGUAUGAUUUGGGGGGGAAAGGAGGGGAGAGCAAAUAACAGGAGUGUAUGUGCAUGCAUUUUUUCCCCCCAAUAUUAGCUCUUACAUCUUAGUAUCCCAUUCCAUUCUUGAUGCACGUGACAAAUGAUGUGUUUAUUUUCUGAAGGGAUUUGAAGUGUUUUCUGGAGAGUCUUCAAAGGAGUGAUCAUAAAUAGUACUGCUAUUACAGUAUCAUACAAACUACUGGUACAUGUUUGUCAACUCGGACCCCAUUUUGUUCUUGUACAAAAGGGGUUUAAAAGCAUGGAAAGCUUUACGAGGAGACAAGUACUGAGCGUCUUUGUCCUAAUAAGUCUUCCCUGAACAGGAAAAUGGGAGCUGUGGGAGUAAUUCUCGUCAGUAGUCUGGUAGCCUCUGAUAGAUAGAAUAAACCUUGCAAAAAGCGUGUAUAUGAUAGCCCCUUACACAAGUUACCUUCGGAUACUUAAUAGUUUUAAAAUACAUACACAUACAUGCAUAAAUGUAUGUACUUCAAAAUGAAAUGCUGACAUGACUAUAGUUGUUUGCACAUAGUUCUUUAAUUACAGUUUAAUUACACUUAUCUGCAGUUAAAUAAUGCAGAUAUUUUAGGGCACAUGUCAUCAGAUCUUUUAAUGUGGAUAAUUGAAAUUCAUGUUUUUACUGCAACCAUCCUUUGCUCUCAGCAGCGCAGCUCAGUUGGUCAUUUGGCAUGUACUGGCUUCUGUUAAUGACAUUCUGCCUGUUUAAACAAGAGCAUGCUGUUCUAAGCAAAUUAAAUUUCUCACUCUUCCUGAUCGUUUUUCUAAUAGGGAUUGAUAAGGCUCAUCAUGAAAAUCUGUUUGUAGUAUAAGAGUUGAUUUCUGGGUCCUCACUAGGAAGGAGCUAGACAACAAAAGCUUACAUACUAUAGGAUCUGCCGUUUGGACAUCUGUCUAAUGUGCUUGGAUUUCUAUAGCAGGACAGUGUCAGUACAGCAUAAACUGCCACUGAAAUACUGUAAAAAUUUCAACUCUCUCCCUUGGUCAAAAGUUGACAGUUCAGUGGCUCCAGGAAAGAUGAUAGGAAUACUGCUCUUCAGAGAAUAGUUUCUGUCUGUAGAUACUAUUUAAAACAUAAUUAGGUGUGGCAAUCAAGUGGCAGUAGAGGUGUGUGUUGGCAGAUGAACGAGAGAGGGAGUUCAGUCCCAGUGUCCUUGUGGCAGACUAACAUUCUCUGUGCCAGUCCUGAGAGCACCCUUGAGAAACAGUGAUUGUCUUUGUGUGCUGACACAGCUGUUCUUUCUGCUUGCCCACUCAAGAAGUUCUACAAGCCUUCAAGGGACAUGGAGAGCACGAAGAACAUGAAGCAUUCCAAACUACUCUUCAAAACCACCAUGCUCAGAGCCUGAAAGGAUCACUUACCUCUGAGAGUACUCCAGGUAACUGUCAAGAGACCAGAGCAGAGAACAGAAGAGGAAGAGAAGUUUUCAAAAAGCUGCUUGCAGGAGAUAGAAAGCUCUCAAAGCUACAGCUGAAGAUAGCAAUUUCUUACGGCUGAAAUGGCUCACUUUAGAUGUGCACUAGUUAUCUUGUGAAUGCAAACUGAUCUGAUAACUCCACGUUUCUGGCUGUUGACAAAGCUGUCAUCACAUCUGUGGUGUUCUGUACAUGGAAGCAGAUGGAGGAAGUGGGAACCUUCUUGACCUUACUUGUACUGAGAACAGAUGAUCUGUGGAAAGAAGGCUUUACCAGUUAAAAUCAAUAUCCUCACAAUAA